UCCUUGGUCAACAUUGGAAGUGAACAAGAUUUCUGCACAGAGAUUUUUCUUGGACAAGAGUGCAACAUUAACUGUGGAUAUGAACUUUACUUUCAAAUGAACAUUGGAAGUGAACAAGAUUUCUGCACAGAGAGUGCAACCAGCCACAUUAGCUGCU
rnacentral:lncRNA from 1 species